AGUGAACGCUGGCGGUAGGCCUAACACAUGCAAGUCGAACGGCCGCACAGUAAGAGCUUGCUCUUACGGGUGGCGAGUGGCGGACGGGUGAGGAAUACAUCGGAAUCUACUUUUUCGUGGGGGAUAACGUAGGGAAACAUACGAUACUACCGCAUACGACCUACGGGUGAAAGCAGGGGAUCUUCGGACCUUGCGCGAUUGAAUGAGCUGAUGUCGGAUUAGCUAGUUGGCGGGGUAAAGGCCCACCAAGGCAACGAUCCGUAGCUGUUCUGAGAGGAUGAUCGGCCACACUGGAACUGAGACACGGUCCAGACUCCUACGGGAGGCAGCAGUGGGGAAUAUUGGACAAUGGGCGCAAGCCUGAUCCAGCCAUACCGCGUGGGUGAUGAAGGUCUUCGGGUUGUAAAGCCCUUUUGUUGGGAAAGAAAAGCAGCAGGUUAAUACCCCGCUGUUCUGACGGUACCCAAAGAAUAAGCACCGGCUAACUUCGUG
rnacentral:rRNA from 1 species